UCCUCCUCCUCCUCCUCCUCUGCCUCUCAGAUUGUUCAUAGCAUCACAAGAAGGUAUCAACCCUUUCACUCAUUCUGAAACUCGAACAGCACAGCAUCAGCACAGAUCUUAGAGCUGCAGUGGAUAUUUCCUCUUUCCUGCUCAUCACAAGAUUCAGAUGGAGUGAAGAAAUAAAAUCACACAUCCAGAAAACUGCUGGAGCCUCAGAAAUCACAGAGCAGCAGAAAACAAGAAGACAGAGAGAGAAAUGGAGACACAAACCAGUGCAUCACAAGAGAGAAGAAGACAUAAAUUUGAGAAAGGCCACAGUAUGGAGGGAAUAAUGCCAAACUUCUCAGAUGAUCCAGAUGAUCCUGUAAAGAUUGAUUCUGAUGUCAAAACUGAGGAGAGAUUCUCUCAUCAAAACCUUCAUCAUGCUCACAAGAACACACAA